rnacentral:misc_RNA from 1 species
GAUGAAGAACGUAGCGAAAUGCGAUACGUAAUGUGAAUUGCAGAAUUCAGUGAAUCAUCGAGUCUUUGAACGCACAUUGCGCCCGCCAGUAUUCUGGCGGGCAUGCCUGUCCGAGCGUCAUUUCAACCCUCGCGCCCAUCUGGGCUGCGGUGUUGGGGACCGGCCUGCCCCCCCGGGGCGCGCCGCCCCCCAAAUUCAGUGGCGGUCUCGCUGCAGCCUCCCUUGCGUAGUAGCACACCUCGCACCGGAGCGCAGCGCGGCCACGCCGUAAAACCCCCGACCCCCAUGAGUUUGACCUCGGAUCAGGUAGGAAUACCCGCUGAACUUAAGCAUAUCAAUAAGCGGAGGA